AUCGGCUAUUACCUGGAACCAAUACAUUUGGAUCAUAGGGUAUCUGAGUCAUGCCGUGAACACUGAUGUGCGGAAGGAUGUUUUCAGUUUUAAAGCUACCAUCAGAGCAAAGAUGAUGUAACAUAUGCCCUUGGAUAACAGUCAUGCAUCAUGUACCAGCUUCAUGUACCAGCAUGUCAGGUCCUGCACCAGCUUGAGGAACUGAGCAGAGUCAAUAGAUCAGUUUACCACAGCAUCUAUUUGCAGUACUGUGACUCAACAAUGCAUCCCACUUUAAUCUAAGAUGGCCCACUGGCAAGCAGGAGUGAAAGCUGACACCGUACAGCAGAGGACCCUCCGGCUAUGUAAAGAGGGGAGAAGGGUUUGGAAGAAGAAAAAGGUGUGUUUGAAGCUUAAAAUCAGCCAGAGUAACACAGUGUGUGAAAUCUAUACUGUUAGUCAUUUUCAUUGGUAUUAGUAUUACCAUGGCAAUCAGGAUAUAAUGAAGGAAGUUUUUUAAAGUGUUGAUGUCAGAAGAUAUGAAAUAGUAACUUUCAUUUCCUCAGAUUUGUGAUCAAGUUCAUCACUUGACUCACUUGAAUUAGGAAAUUGCAGUGAUGUUAUUUUUUUUAUUUUUAGAGGAACACAUACCCACAUGUUGAACCUCGCUUGCUCUCUUUUAU
ensembl:lncRNA